AUGUAUAUCUAUGUGGCAGCCGCCAUCAUUGUCUUGUCAGGACACUGUGGAGGAGUCUCUGUGACACAGCUCCAAUCUACUGUGACAGUGAAUGAAGGAGAGGCUGUUUAUCUGCAGUGUAACUACACAGCUACAAGCGCCGGCGAUCCAUAUCUGUUCUGGUACCGUCAUUAUGCCAAUAAAGCUCCAGAAUAUAUCCUUAAUACCUACAUCAGGAAUAACAAGCAGCAACGUUCAGACUUUGCAAAAGAAGGUUUCUCAACGAACGUGUCCAACGAGGAGAGAGCCGCUCACUUGAAUAUAUUCCAAGUGAGAGUUACAGACUCCGCGGUGUAUUACUGUGCACUGAGCCCCACAGAGGCACAGAUCAGCGAUUUCGCCCUACAAAAACUGUCAGGUGGAGUCCUGGAGCUCAGUGGUUAG